rnacentral:rRNA from 1 species
GAUGAACGCUGGCGGCGUGCUUAACACAUGCAAGUCGAACGGAAAGGCUCCUGCUUGCAGGGGUACUCGAGUGGCGAACGGGUGAGUAACACGUGGGUGAUCUGCCCUGCACUUCGGGAUAAGCCUGGGAAACUGGGUCUAAUACCGGAUAGGACGAUGGUUUGGAUGCCAUUGUGGAAAGUUUUUCGGUGUGGGAUGAGCUCGCGGCCUAUCAGCUUGUUGGUGGGGUAAUGGCCUACCAAGGCGUCGACGGGUAGCCGGCCUGAGAGGGUGUACGGCCACAUUGGGACUGAGAGACGGACCAGACGCGUACGGGAGGCAGCAGUGGGGAAGAUUGCAGAAUGGGCGCAAGCCUGAUGCAGAGACGCCGCGUGGGGGAUGACGGCCUUCGGGUUGUAAACACCUUUCGAUAGGGACGAAGCGCAAGUGACGGUACCUGGAGAAGAAGCACCGGCUAACUACGUG